GACGAACGCUGGCGGCGUGCCUAAUACAUGCAAGUUGAGCGCUGAAGGUUGGUACUUGUCCCAACUGGCUGAGCAGCGAACGGGUGAGUAACGCGUGGGGAAUCUGCCUUUGAGCGGGGGACAACAUUUGGAAACGAAUGCUAAUACCGCAUAAAAACUUUAAACACAAGUUUUAAGUUUGAAAGAUGCAAUUGCAUCACUCAAAGAUGAUCCCGCGUUGUAUUAGCUAGUUGGUGAGGUAAAGGCUCACCAAGGCGAUGAUACAUAGCCGACCUGAGAGGGUGAUCGGCCACAUUGGGACUGAGACACGGCCCAAACGCCUACGGGAGGCAGCAGUAGGGAAUCUUCGGCAAUGGACGAAAGUCUGACCGAGCAACGCCGCGUGAGUGAAGAAGGUUUUCGGAUCGUAAAACUCUGUUGGUAGAGAAGAACGUUGGUGAGAGUGGAAAGCUCAUCAAGUGACGGUAACUACCCAGAAAGGGACGGCUAACUACGUG
rnacentral:rRNA from 1 species